rnacentral:lncRNA from 1 species
CCUUUUCGAAAUGAUUUGACUCUUUAAAACUGGUUUGCGAACAGAGCUUCCAACUAAGAAAUUCUGUUGACCAAGGGGAAGGUGUUAGGCACCUCUUGAUCCCGUGGUUCGACCACGGUCGCUUGAUGGAGUGUAUUGACUAUUUUGGCACUAUGAAUGCAUAAACCACACAAAAGCACAUAAAACAACCAGCCAAAACAACCAAACCCAAAUCCAAAAUAUAGUGUCCAGUCCAAUUAUACAGUCCAAAAUAAAAAUGCGAAAACAUAAAUCCUAUUCUAACCUAGACUAAUCCUAUACUACGCUCGCCUCGGGCCUUCACCACGAACAUCUUCCAAGUACAAGAUACUUCGGGCCAUUUCCCGGAUAAAUCAAUACAAAUCCCUCGAGGCAUUCCCCGACCAAAUGAAUACAUUUUUUAGUGAGAGAAAAUCACACUAUUCAACAAAAUUUCAAACAUUCCACGGAAUUUUCAACAUUCAACCAAAGCCACAAAUUCUAAACAUUUGCCUACCUAACCUAUGUUUGCCUAAAUCAAUCGACAUAUAAUGAUACUACCAAGUUCAAUUAACGUUCAUUUCAAGUCAAACAAUCGAUUCAAAUUACUUCAAUAGUCUUGGAUUCCAAUCCCCCACAUUCUCUUUUUUUAACAUCAAAUUUUCCCAAUUCCACAAUUCAAGAUUACUAUUUCAACAAUCCACAACUACUUCCUCAAUGAAAUUAAGCAAAACAAAUCAAUAUCACCCAAUAUUCAAUCACGUUUCACACAAAUCAAACACGAAUGAUAAAAUAAAUAAAAAGAGAUAGAAUUGGACCUCAAGUGUCGAUUUCAAUAUAUAGGAGGUAACACCGCGCUAAAAAAACUCAAUUCGAACCUCAAUCAAUAAAUCCUAGCUCGAUAUACCUUUUUUCUCUGUUUUUCACCAACAUGAGUCAAUAUUUGAGCGAGAGAAGCGAAACCCGCGCCUGCUCCGAGAUCUGGUCACCGGAUUUUAUAGAUUUUUCAGCGGGUUUCGCCGGAACUAACUCAACAGGGACGAGUUUAAUAGAAAACUAGAUGCGGGGUGGGGAAACAGGUUUGUUGGUACUAGCUAAUGGAGUCGAUUUGGUCGGAAAUGACACUGGGUUUGCUGCCGGACAGUGAUGGAGUUACGAUUCUGGUGAAAAUUCGCCGAAAAAUCUGUUCCUAUCCUAUUUUCUCUUCCUUUUCAACUCUUUAUGCUCGUCUCGAUCUCUUCCUCUCACUAUUCUCUCUCAAUCUCUCUGAUUCUCCUCAACCCCAUCGAUCUCUCUAUCAAACCCAAUCUCUCUCACUCGUUUCUCUACCCUCUACCCGUUCUUCAUCUCUCUCGAACUUCUACUGUGUGUGAGUUGGAUGUUGCUUUGUGAAAAAUGGUGAGGUGAAGCUAUCUAUGGCAUGAUAUUUGUGCGUGGAUUGAGAGUAAAAAAUGAAAAAUAAUUGAAUCUGUUACUGUAUAUUUCUCAAUGGGAGCUCUAAGUGGGUGGAAAGCUAUCUUUCAAUGGAAAAAAAUGUUGAUCCCUCCCCUGUGUUUCCUAUGAACCCCUCUUUAAUGUAAAGAUGAUGUUUAUGGUGUGGACCUCCGCAAUGGAAAAGAAAAUAUGGCGUGAGGAGUCUUUUUGUGUGAUGGUAUGUGGGCCCCUAGAAUUGUUGUUGUGUAUUCAAUUGUUAGAUGGAAUCCAAGAAGGGGGGCUGAGGUGGGGGUAGGUAGGUGGGGUAGAGGAGGGUUAACACUUGAAGACAUGCCCCAGUUUUUGUAUGAAACAUCUUCUUUACUUGCAAGUCUUAGGAAACUUUUCACAGCAUUUCCUGUACUCUUUAUUUUUCCAACCAUUUCCUUUGGCUUUUCUGGCACACUAGGUUUCUUCUUAAGAAAUUUUUGUGAUCCAGUUAGCAUAAAAGUAGGAUCAGAAGUAUAGCGAUGAUCACCAAGAGUAUUGAACAAGGGUCCAUUAGCAGCAUGAGCAAGCACAACUGUUGGGCGGUUGGCCAAUGUAGAAGCCUCAAUAGGGGUGAGCAACAAGAUCACAGACGAUAAGUGGUGUUGUGAAUAUAGCAGGCUUAUACUGAGGAGCUAGAGGAAAAGUGGUGGAUGAUUUUGGCUUGGAAUGAAUUUUGAGUCAUGUUGUGGUGCAUCAACAACAGUAGGACACCAACUUUGCGAUUUUCGUGGAAAACUCGAGCUAUUUGUAGGAUAAAUAAAGGGAAAUGAAUGAGGAGGCAACCCACUGGCCCAAACUCGAUGCAUUUCUGUCAUUUGUUGUCUUAGCCUCUUAAUCUUUUGCUUUAAACUCUCAUUUUCCUGAUUCUUUGUUUUGAUCCAUGAUGUCACUCUCUAUAUCUUUGUUGGACACAACUAACCCUUUGGAUUUGGUGUGAUGUGGAGGACUAGCCAGAAUGCCACAAACCAACCACCUUAAACUCACUCACCAAAAAACAGCAAAUGUGUUAGAGUUCAACACUUUUUCAAAACUCUUUUUCCUUUUUUUUUUUUUAAAUUCACCAAACCCAAAAAGGGUGCCUACGUAUCUCACUCCCGAAAGGGGAGAAUCAGGUGUGCGUAGUUCGUGAAGUCUUGCCAAAAUGGCCAAUUAAUUCUUUUCCUUUCUUUUUUUCUUUUCCUUGAAACUUUAAGAAAAAAGAAAAUAACAAUUUGUCAAAAGAAUUGACUAAAAUCUUUUUGCAUUUUUCAAGUUUAAACUCCCUCUACAAAAUGGAACCUAUGAUUACCAAAAAAAAAUAUCUUUUGGGGUUUUCAAUUUUGAAUUUCAUAGGAAAAUGAAACUGAAACUAUUAAAGAAAAAUCUUUUUGUAGUUUUCUUUUAAAUAUGUACAUGAAACACCUACUCUAAAUGAUGAGUGAAAUUAUUUUUUUGUACUUUUGAAAUAAGAUUCCCGAACCCACAAUAGGCUGUCUACGUAUCUCACUCCCGAUAGAGGAAAAUCAGGGGUGCGUAGUUCGUCCAGAUUGGACAAAUAAGGAUUAAAUAAAUAACACCCUGACUUGAGAGACACGAGCACAAACAGAAGAUGCAAAACGUCCAUAAAAUUUUUUGAAUUUUCAAUUUGACACUUCACAUAAAAAUGACACCAACAACUAUGAAAAAAAAUCUUUUUGGUAUUUUCGUGAAAUGUACAAAACUCCUAUAAUUUUUUUUUCAUUUUUCUUUUAUAAAAACUCCUAUGAAUGAAAAAUAUUUUUAAAGUCUUCAAAUUGUGAAUGUAUACUAAAUAAGAGAAAGGAAAAAUCUUUUUGAUGUUUUUGUCUUUGAUAAAUGAGUGCAAAAGGUAAAUCUUUUUGAAUUUUUAGAUUGUGGAGAAUAAAAACCAUAAAAAACUCAAAAAAAAAAAUUACGAAACACUUUUUUUUUUCUUUUCUCUUUUUCUCCCUUUUUUUUAAACCUUUCCUUAUCUAUACACUUCCUUUAAUUCUAGAACAUACUUUUUCCCAAAACAGUCUGUCAAAUGACCCCAUUACCCUCAAAGAUGUAACAUUUAGCACGUAGAGAUGCUUUAGAGGUGAGUCUCCUACAAAGGCCCAAGUGAGCCCCACUAGGUCUCAAUAUGAUGCACAUAAACAUGACCUGAAGGCUGACCUACGUUGAGGUUCACUAACAAGGCUGUUCGGGGGAGCGUAUGAUCGAUAAUGGCUGCGACACCUUUUCACCUACUCCAUACAACCCAAUGGCUCCCCCUCCUAAAAUAAGGGUGACUCAACUAUAAGUUGUGUACACACGUGUACUACGGACUUGUUGUAGAAAGAAUGACUCGGGCUAUGGGCAUAAUGCCAGAUAUAAAGCAGUAACACAUAAAGUGAAAAUUAUAAACAAAGAGCACGUAGACACUCAACAAUGAUAAAACAAAAACACAAAACAACACAAACAAAAUGUCUAUAAACCUAUAGUGCCAAACUAAGCUGAUACAACUCCUAAAUAAGCUCGAAUUCUGAAAAAUUCCCCAGCAGAGUCGCCAGAGCUAUCACACCCCUUUUUUUAACCAAAAAGAGUUGUUUUAAGUUUCGAAAGGGUUUUAAUUAUUAAGUGACAAAAUGAAGAUUUGUUUCGAAAAGGACUUUUAUAUUCAAAACUCAGAGUCGCCACUUAGCAAUUCCGGUGUGCCAAGUCACCUUUGAAAGAUCCUUUUCGAAACGAUUUGACUCUUUAAAAUUGGUUUGCGAACAGAGAUUCCGACUAAGGAAUUCUGCUGACCAAGGGGAAGGUGUUAGGCACCCCUCGAUCCCGUAGUUCGACCACGGUCGCUUGAUGGAGUGUAUUGACUAUUUUGGCACUACGAAUUCAUAAACCACACAAAAGCACAUAAAACAACCAACCAAAACAAACAAACCCAAAUCUAAAAUAUAGUGUCCAGUCCAAUUAUACAGUCUAAAAUAAAAAUGCGAAAACAUAAAUCUGUUCUAACCUAGACUAAUCCUAUUCUACGCUCCGCUGCUUCAACCGAUGCCUCGGGCCUUCACCAUUAACAUCUCCAAGUACAAGAUACUUCGGGGCAUUCCCCGAAUAAAUCAAUACAAAUCCCUCGAGGCAUUCCCCGGCCAAAUAAAUACAUUUUUUAGUGCGAGAAAAUCACAUUAUUCAAUAAAAUUUCAAAUAUUCCACGGAAUUUUCAACAUUCAACCAAAGCCACCAAUUCUAAACAUUUGCCUACCCAACCUAUGUUUGCCUAAAUCAAUCGACGUAUCAUGAUACUACCAAGUUCAAUUAACGUUCAUUUCAAGUCAAACAAUCGAUUCAAAUUACUUCAUAGUCUUCGAUUCCAAUCCCCGACAUUCUCUUUUAACAUCAAAUUUUCCCAAUUCCACAAUUCAAGAUUACUAUUUCAACAAUCCACAACCAUUUCCUCAAUGAAAUUAAGCAAAACAAAUCAAUAUCACCUAAUAUUCAAUCACGUCUCACACAAAUCAAACACGGAUAAUAAAAUAAAUAAGAAGAGAUAGAACUGGACCUCAAGUGUCGAUUUCAAUACACAGGAGGUAACACCGCGCUCGAAAAAAUUCAAUUCGAACCUCAAUCAACAAACCCGAGUUUGAUAUACCCUUUUUCUCUGUUUUUCACCAACACGAAUCAAUAUUUAAGCGAGAGAAGCGAAACCCGCGCCUGCUCCGAGAUCUGGUCGCCGAAUUUUAUAGAUUUUUCGGCGGGUUUCGCCGGAACUGACUCAACAGAGAUGAGUUUAAUAGAAAGCUAGAUGCAGGGUGGGGAAAUAGGUUCGCUGGUACUAGCUGGUGGAGUUGGUUUGGUCGGAAACGACAGUGGGUUUGCUGCCGGACAGUGAUGGAGUUACGAUUCCGGCGAAAAUUCGCCAAAAAAUCCAUUCCUAUCCUAUUUUCUCUUCUUUUUUAGCUCUCUAUGCUCGUCUCGAUCUCUUCCUCUCACUAUUCUCUCUCGAUCUCUCUGAUUCUCCUCAACCCCGUCGAUCUCUCUGUCAAACCCAAUCUCUCUCACUCGUUUCUCUACCCUCUACCCGUUCUUCAUCUCUCUCGAACUUCUACUGUGUGUGAGUUGGAUGUUGCUUUGCUAAAAAUGGUGAGAUGAAGCUAUCUAUGGCAUGAUAUUUGUGCGUGGAUUGAGAGUAAAAAAUGAAAAAUAAUUGAAUCUGUUACUAUGUAUUUCUCAAUGGGAGCUCUAAGUGGGUGGAAAGCUAUCUUUCAAUGGAUAAAAAUGCUGAUCCCUCCCCUCUGUUUCCUAUGAACCCCUUUUAUGUGAAGAUGAUGUUUAUGGUGUGGACCCCCGCAAUGGAAAAGAAAAUAUGGCGUGAGGUGUCUUUUUGUGUGAUGGUAUGUGGGCCCCUG